CGGCUACAAAAACAGGUCCUAAGACUAGUUAUCUGAACGGGAAAGUCACGUGUUUAAAGCCAGACCAGUAAAGUUUUUAACGGAACCUAGAAGGCCACCAAAACUGCAACGCAAACUGCCAAGAACUCCAGCGAGGCCAACCUUAAGUUAUGCACACAGAGAAAAACUUAAGCCAACUUGACAAUGAAUGUGUAUUUUCAGUGUACUUAUACGUCGAUGGACUCACCUCUGUACCCAUUUGAAGGAUGGCAGGGGAUUACCAUCAGCCAGGCACUCAAAGGCUGCAGGACUGAAAAGCGGGGCGGUGGUAAGGCGAUCCGGACCAGCUGAAAUAAUUUUGGGAGGAUCUGAAAGGAAGGGGAGAGCGCGGAAGAAAGCAGAGCCAGGUGAAAACUUUGUCCAAGGUAAAUAGUAAGAUACGUACAUUUCACAUCCAACUGCACCGACAGCUGCUCAGAGGUGCCCACCGAGUUCUGUGCCUGGCAGGUGUACAAUCCGGCAUCGCGACGCCCGACGGGACGCAAUUGCAGAGUUUCCUGUGGGCAAGAGAUUGGAGGUGGAGUGGGAUUGGAGAUAAAUUCCCAGCGAGGGGGUGACUCUACCCGAAGCAAUUUCGGAACAACAUAAACAAGCUGGGCGGUAGUAUCCGCAUCCUUAGCUGCAACUAAGCUAAGCUCACCUGCAAGCUGGCUAUCUCGGAGCGACCUGCCCGCCGCCAGACGAUGCUGGCCGGCGGAUUGGCAUCGGCCACGCAGCGCAGGACCAGGGCAUCCUUGUCCUCCUCCAAGUCGAUUUCCGGUGAGCCAAUUAGACGGAUGCUCGGCGCGUCUGCGAGAAAAACAGAACACAGGAACACAAAAUAGAAACAGAGAAACGGAGACGGAGGCGGAGACGGAGAUGGAGACGUUAAACUUGGUUAGGCAAAACAAAAACAGCAAUUGAAACUGCAGAAACAGCAAUGGCAGCCGAGCAAACAGAGUCAACAAGCCGGGCAAGUCCUGCUCCUGGCCACGUCCUCUGGGACAAGUCAACUCUUGAAUUGCUCAGCAAAACAGGAAAUUACAGCAAAUUGUUGUUAAUUUAAUUGUUACAGCUUUCUGUCUCCGAUUCGGAUUUGGAUUGUGAUUCCACUGCCACUUCUACUCGGUCUCCAUGCCUCUUGCUUAGAUUGCCUGGCCCUGACUUUAAGCCAAAUCGAAUGAAGCCACUUUAGUGGCCCGGCGCGCAUUCAGGCUGCAGGUGCUGUAUCAGAGUUUUGCAUAUCGUUAUCGCAACACUCACAUUUCACGUCCAGCCUGGCCUCCACCACCACCGAUUUGGCCGUGUAGGACUCGUGGUAGGCGGCACACCGCAGUAUAUCUCCGUGGCGCUCCCGCAUCGCCGACACCUGCACCACCGAGGUGGCCGACCAGGUGCGUGGAUUAUCCGGCUCGGUGGCAUUCAUUUGCGGGUGGAUGGGCGAGAUCUCCUGGUCGCCUGGGGGAGAGAGCAGCAGCAAAUGGGAAUUAAUUAACAUUAACAACUGCCGCUGGAUAACAACAGCCACUGAGGUAAUGCGGCAUGCUGCACCCAAAAAAAAAAUGUGCUAUCAGUCGAAUUGAAAUAAAUAUAACAAUUAAUAUUCAUUUGGGUUGCUGAAAAAAUAAACUAUUAAUCGUGAAAAAAUA